UGUGGCCAGCAUGACUGCAUGCAGUACCGUUACAUUCCCACAGAAGUGGUAUUUAUUUAUUUAUUUAUUUAUUUAUUUACAGCAUUUAUAUUCCGCCCUUCUUUCUCACCCCGAAGGGGACUCAGGGCGGAUCACAUUGCACACAUAAAGGCAAACAUUCAAUGCCAUGACAUAGAACAGAGACAGAGACAAGACGCAGGCACCGGGCUGGCCUCGAACUCAUGACCUCUUGGUCAGAGUGAUUUGUUGAUUUGUUGCAGCUGGCUUGCUUUCCAGCCUGCGCCACAGCCUGGUUACACUCAUAAUGCAGUAUUGCAACACCACCACUCUUGGGAAAAUGAAUUAAUUAUGACUAAUUAAUAACUAGAAGAAUUUGCAACUAGUUAUAAAUAAGUUCAGUCUACUGUUUCAAUUAGUUCUGGCUAAAUCUCAAUAUCUUAUCUUUUUUUAAAGUAAACCACUAAAUUUCUAUUUUCAUUUCACAUCUGUUCCUUUUAUUAUUCUGUUAGUUUUAUCUUAUUUCUCAUACAGAAGAUCAGAGAGUGUUUUUUUUAAAAGAAAAAGGCCUUAUUUUAGUUCAAGUAAAGGAUGCCAAUCAUGAAGAGUUAAAAAAAACACUGUGCAAAAUGAUGUUUAAACUUCCAGGAAACAGUAGACAAACUGACUAAUGUUUCUGAGUCCUGGAAAAAAAUAGAACGUAUGCAAUCUAACUUUUGCUUUCAGCAGAUUCUAACACAACCUAUAGCAUAAACAAACAAAAAGCACUUUAUUUUAGGUUCCAUUACUAAUGCUCCAAUUUGUAUUUUCAUAGUCUAUUGAACUUUAAGUGAGACAUUACAGAGGAUGUGAGUUUUUUAGGUCUUUCGAUAUUCAGUGAAAAUUACAGUGGCCCUGCCAAUGCAGAGGACUUAGUAUUUUAAGGUGUUCUAUUGGAUAUAAGUGGAUGGGACCACAGGACAGCACUGGUUUCUCAGCAACUUUUCUCCACUAACUGCUGCCUCUUCCUUCUACUUUUACUUCCAAGCUUGCCAGUUAGCAAGGGGAGGCAAGGUGGAUACUAGUAGGAACAGUUGGGGAAAAAACAAGCAGAGGAUGUUGUAUUUUAGUGUAUUUACAAUGCUCUUUUAAUGUUAAAUUUUCCUUUUAUACUUUUAUUUCAGUGUAAAAAUCGACUCUCCAUGCUGUAUUAGCCAAGAUGUGUUAAAGGUGUGUGACGCAGCUGGUUAGUAGCCAGCUGCAAUAAAUCACUACUGACUGAGAGGUAAUAGGAUGGAAGCACGGGUCAGAUUGAACUCCCAACCACUAAUAGCCUAGCUCGCUGCCCACUUAAGCAGUUUGAAAAACAGUUGCAUCUGUUGAGUAGAAAAUUCUAGAUACCGCUUAUGUGGGGAGGCUAAUUUAACUAAUUUACGACACCAUAAAAACUGUCAGCAGUGUGCGGAAAGGAAUGAGGAAGUACUACCAUCAAAAGGACUCAGUGUCACAGUGGACGAUGAAGUGGCAGCUCCCCCUGUGGCCGGAAUCGAGCAUACCCUCAUGAAGCCGGAAGCUGGAAAAAUGUUAAAAUUGCCUCUGUGUCUGUCUAUAUGUUGUAUGUCUAAUAAUGGCAUUGAAUAUUUGCCAUGUAUAUGUGCAUUGUAAUCCACUCUGAGUCCCCUUCUGGGUGAGAAGGGCGGAAUAUAAAUACUGUAAAUAAAUAAAUAGAAUGGGCUAAACUGCAUCCUCUAUCUUCUCUAGUGAAUCCUUAAGGUUCCAGAAGGAUCAAAAGAUACUUAAACUCUUUCUAUGGCCAAAUGUAACCCGAAACUCUUUUUCGCCAUAUUUCUCUGCUGGAAAGGAUGGAGUGGCACCUAUGAAAGGCAACAGAUUUACCCUGAUUCCCAGACAUGAAUUUUUUGUCACCAAGCAGAGUGACAAAGAGACUUCGAAGCAAAUGCAAGCACUUGAAAAAGGCAAUAAAUAAGAAGCAAGUCUUGUGUUCCUUUCUGAAACUACAGUGUCAGACAGUGCCAAGUAAGGGAUGAAGCGAAACUGACAGUGCCAAUGCUGAGAAAUUACCAUAAAAAUAAAUAAAUCUACAGCCUCUG
ensembl:lncRNA